rnacentral:rRNA from 1 species
CGAGUCUGCCUUGAGAUCGGAGUGCUUGCACUCUGUGAAACAAGAUACAGGCUAGCGGCGGACGGGUGAGUAACACGUGGGUAACCUGCCCAAGAGAUCGGGAUAACACCUGGAAACAGAUGCUAAUACCGGAUAACAACAGAUGAUGCCUAUCAACUGUUUAAAAGAUGGUUCUGCUAUCACUCUUGGAUGGACCUGCGGUGCAUUAGCUAGUUGGUAGGGUAACGGCCUACCAAGGCGAUGAUGCAUAGCCGAGUUGAGAGACUGAUCGGCCACAUUGGGACUGAGACACGGCCCAAACUCCUACGGGAGGCAGCAGUAGGGAAUCUUCCACAAUGGACGCAAGUCUGAUGGAGCAACGCCGCGUGAGUGAAGAAGGGUUUCGGCUCGUAAAGCUCUGUUGUUGGUGAAGAAGGACAGGGGUAGUAACUGACCUUUGUUUGACGGUAAUCAAUUAGAAAGUCACGGCUAACUACGUGCCAACAGCCGCGGUAAUACGUAGGUGGCAAGCGUUGUCCGGAUUUAUUGGGCGUAAAGCGAGUGCAGGCGGCUCGAUAAGUCUGAUGUGAAAGCCUUCGGCUCAACCGGAGAAUUGCAUCAGAAACUGUCGAGCUUGAGUACAGA